rnacentral:rRNA from 1 species
UACAGAGGGGGCGAGCGUUGUUCGGAAUUACUGGGCGUAAAGGGCGCGUAGGCGGCCCGCUAAGUCGAACGUGAAAUCCCCAGGCUCAACCUGGGAACUGCGUCCGAUACUGGCAGGCUUGAAUCCGGGAGAGGGAUGUGGAAUUCCUGGUGUAGCGGUGAAAUGCGCAGAUAUCAGGAGGAACACCGAUGGCGAAGGCAGGUCUCUGGGCCAUAACUGACGCUGAGAAGCGAAAGCAUGGGGAGCGAACAGG